AACGAACGCUGGCGGCAUUCCUAACACAUGCAAGUCGAACGAGACCUUCGGGUCUAGUGGCGCACGGGUGCGUAACACGUGGGAAUUUGCCUCGGGGUAUGGAAUAACUCAGGGAAACUUGAGCUAAUACCAUAUAAUGUCUUCGGACCAAAGAUUUAUCGCCCUGAGAUAAGCCCGCGUAGGAUUAGCUAGUUGGUGGGGUAAAGGCUCACCAAGGCGACGAUCCUUAGCUGGUCUGAGAGGAUGAUCAGCCACACUGGGACUGAGACACGGCCCAGACUCCUACGGGAGGCAGCAGUGGGGAAUAUUGGACAAUGGGCGAAAGGCCUGAUCCAGCAAUGCCGCGUGAGUGAUGAAGGCC
rnacentral:rRNA from 1 species